rnacentral:rRNA from 1 species
AGAGUUUGAUCAUGGCUCAGGACGAACGCUGGCGGCGUGCUUAACACAUGCAAGUCGAACGGUGAUCUUGAGAGCUUGCUCUUGGGUGAUCAGUGGCGAACGGGUGAGUAACACGUGAGCAACCUGCCCCAGACUCUGGAAUAACCCCGGGAAACCGGAGCUAAUACCGGAUACGACACUGGCCCGCAUGGGUAUGGUGUAGAAAGUUUUUCGGUCUGGGAUGGGCUCGCGGCCUAUCAGCUUGUUGGUGAGGUAGUGGCUCACCAAGGCGACGACGGGUAGCCGGCCUGAGAGGGCGACCGGCCACACUGGGACUGAGACACGGCCCAGACUCCUACGGGAGGCAGCAGUGGGGAAUAUUGCACAAUGGGCGCAAGCCUGAUGCAGCGACGCCGCGUGAGGGAUGACGGCCUUCGGGUUGUAAACCACUGUUGCCCGGGACGAACAGGGUCAUUCGUGACCCCUGACGGUACCGGGUGAGGAAGCACCGGCUAACUCCGUGCCAGCAGCCGCGGUAAUUC